CGCAACGAUGCACUAGCGAUCCGCCGGCGGCUAUUAGGCCCUGGUGGGGAGCUUCCCGGAAACGAAAGUCUUCCGGUUCCGGGGGAAGUAUGGUUGCAAAGCUGAAACUUAAAGGAAUUGACGGAAGGGCACCACCAGGAGUGGAGCCUGCGGCUUAAUUUGACUCAACACGGGAAAACUCACCCGGCCCGGACACCGUAAGGAUUGACAGAUUGAUAGCUUUUUCAUGAUUCGGUGGUUGGUGGUGCAUGGCCGUUCUUAGUUCGUGGAUCGAUUUGUCUGGUUUAUUCCGAUAACGAGCGAGACUCCAGCCUACUAAAUAGUGCGGGCAUUGCUUCUGUGCUUGUCACUUCUUAGAGGGAUUGGCUGCGUCUAGCGGCACGAAACGGAGCAAUAACAGGUCUGUGAUGCCCUUAGAUGUCCGGGGCUGCACGCGCGCUACACUGGCAAAGGCAGCGUGCUUGUCCGUCUCCGAAAGGAGCCGGUAAACCCUUGAAAAUUUGCCGUGAUUGGGAUCGGAAAUUGCAAUUAUUUUCCGUGAACGAGGAAUUCCUAGUAAGUGCGAGUCAUCAGCUCGCGUUGAUUACGUCCGGGCCCCCUUUGGAAACCCCCC
rnacentral:rRNA from 1 species